UUAUGGCCAUAUCAUAUUGAAACACCGGUUCCCGUAAUAUCACCAAAGUUAAGCAAUGCUGAGCCUAAUCAGUGCUUAGAUGGGUGACCACUUGGGAAUAUCAGCUGCUGUAAG